rnacentral:tRNA from 1 species
GUCCCAGUAGCUCAGUAGGAUAGAGCGUCUCCCUCCUAAGGAGAAAGUCGGGGGUUCGAAUCCUCUCUGGGACGCCA